AUACUGCAAGUCGAAGAGUUCUCGUUUAUGAUCGGCGCUUGCAUCCAGAUUCAACAUGGAACGAGCGGCGGACGGGUGAGUAACACGUGGGUAACCUGCCUUUAAGUGGGGGAUAACAUUUGGAAACAGAUGCUAAUACCGCAUAGAUCCAAGAACCGCAUGGUUCUUGGCUGAAAGAUGGCGUAAGCUAUCGCUUUUGGAUGGACCCGCGGCGUAUUAGCUAGUUGGUGAGGUAAUGGCUCACCAAGGCGAUGAUACGUAGCCGAACUGAGAGGUUGAUCGGCCACAUUGGGACUGAGACACGGCCCAAACUCCUACGGGAGGCAGCAGUAGGGAAUCUUCCACAAUGGACGCAAGUCUGAUGGAGCAACGCCGCGUGAGUGAAGAAGGCUUUCGGGUCGUAAAACUCUGUUGUUGGAGAAGAAUGGUCGGCAG
rnacentral:rRNA from 1 species